UAACCACAUGAAAUACGCCUCUCCAGCCUACACGCGCCUUUGCGGAUAGGCUGCUCUUCUUCCCCGCUGAGACACGGCCGGGACGCCGGCAGGGUACGCCCCCCACGACUUCGCGAGCCUCUCCCAGUCUCCCCCUACUUCUGUCUCUUCUUCGCCAUGGCCAUCUCUCCGUUCCGGUGCAUAUGUGGGGCCCAGCACUCCCUGAGCAAGGACCGUGGCGCGCCCGCCCCUUCUCUUGGCAGGAGAUCCAAAUACUCGGGACAAUCUGUGGUAAAGAGUGCAAGCAUUGACUUUUCUAGCUACAUCGAUUCAUUUGAUCCAUUUCUCCUCAAGGAAAAUGUAGCCUGCAUUUUACGGAAUAAGGCGAAACUUGCUGAAAGGGCAAUGCCUAUGCGUUUGUUAACGGUUGGAAAGAAGAGGUCUCGAGGGACACAGCUUCUUGUUGAAGAAUACAAAGAGAAGCUCGGAUACUACUGCGAUUUUGAAGACACCCUUAUCAGGUCCAAUCCAAAACUUACAAGUGAUGUUAAGGUUCAAGUUGAAGCAGAAGACACAGCUAUGAUGCAGCAACUCAAACCUGAAGAUUUUGUAGUUGUGUUGGAUGAAAACGGGAAUGAUGUCAUAUCUGAGUAGGUAGCUGAUCUGAUCGGGGAUGCUGGCAACACAGGAUCAUCAUUCAUCAAGGCUUACAUUUUGUAUUGGUGGACCAUAUGGUCUUGGGGUAUAAGUGCGAGAGCGUGCAGAUGCAACCAUUAGGUUGUCCUCAUUAGUUUUGAAUCACCAGGUUGCUUUAAUUGUUCUAAUGGAGCAGCUCUACAGGGCAUGGACUAUAAUAAAAGGACAGAAGUAUCACCAUUAAGCUAAUGUGUUCUCAUCUCAUCAUCAUCCACUGCUAUUUGUAAAGAUGAAGAACUGGGAAUAUGGAAGACUGUGCAUGCAUAAAUUUUCAGUUUCCAGCGCAGCAUGGACGGUACAGACAAGAUGAAAAUUUGCUAGGUUAUUUACUGGUUGCUGCAUGCUUCAAAGAAAGGCCUCGUGCAGCCUUACCAAGGAACAUAUGCCAUCUGCAAGUGAAGUUUUGCAAAAAGAAUGGCACACACCCUGCGAAGAGAAUGGCAGACAAGAACAGCUAAAAUCAAGAUCAAACAUGUCACUGGAUUUAGUUCCUCUUCUAUUGUGAACAUAGAGAAUGAGCAGAGAACAGACAUCUCUUAUCAAUCUGUGGUGUUACAAAUUCAAAACAAGGGAACAAAACACAGAAAAUCCUGUCUUGGAGCUGAAUGUAUGCCUGCACAGCAGACUGUAUUGAUUUAUCAACAAAAUGGUAAUAAUGGCUUUAUUUCA